rnacentral:lncRNA from 1 species
AGGGUUUCGUGCCUUCUGUCUCUUCUCUCGCCGUGUGUUUCUUUAGUUGUUCGUCAAAGUUUGUGGUGUCUUGACAUCUCUAGGUCUUGUGUCCGUGUUUGCACGCUCUGCACCUUGAACAGGUAGGUCUCUGCAAUCGGCAAGCACGUAAUGCCCCUGCCACACGUGGCAACGUGCACUUUGAGCGAGUGUACUUACGAUCACAAAGUGUCAUUUUGGCGGUUCACUGCUAGACGAGAAGGCAAAGUGUACUUUGGAAAUGAUGCCAGUGGCAAUUGGCAGAUUUGUAGCGCAACAUAUAUUUGUCAUUUUUGCGCCCGUGUCUCAUCAUCGGACCAAGAAGCACCACUAGCACACGCCGUUGUAAAUGACUAGAGAACAACUCGCCUACACAUGUGCAAGUGUGCCUGGAAAUAAACAACGCGACGGACGCAGCCAUUGCACAGCAUGUGCUGCCGCAUCCCCCUAGCAGACAUGGCCACAAACUCCCCGAGGGUGAGAGUAGUGAGUUUUUUGUGGUAUUUGGACUUCUUUUAAUACGUAGCAGUAUUCCUUAUAACAAAAACAAUGGUUUAAAAAUAGUAUGAACACCGCUUUAGGCAACAGCGUAUUUCUGUAAAAGCCACUGGUACUGAGGCUACACACUUCGUCGCAGCCGUCGCAGCGACAUGAGGUUGGGGGAACACACUUGCCGGCAAGUGUGCUUUGUAGUGAGUGACACUAAACUUUCACGUGUGACAGCGCGCAAAUGACACUCGCGGCGAAGUGUACUUGCUCAAAGUGCACUUAAGUUGUCACGUGUGACAGGGGUAU